ACGUUUUUUCCAUAUUUGGUAACUAUCAUAGUGGUAACUUUAUAUAGAGUUAUCUACAUUCGCGUUUCACAUUGGUAACCCCGGAUUAAACCUUCAUACGCGGGGACCAAAGGAGUCUUGCGCGGGGUUUCAGCAGCGCCGUCGCGGUAAGAUUUCAAACAUUCUCCGUCGCUAUAGCACCUGAUGACAGAAGUUGUGAAUGUUAUUUAGAGUUUUUGUACAAAUCAGGAGCGAAGUCGGUAUGUGACGAGCUACAGUUCAUUGUAUUAGUAAGUUGACGGUUGUUUUUUUAAUGUUGAACAUCGCGCACGCCGUAGACUCGGUAAAAGUUACAUGCUUCGACAGUUGUGAUACCACACUCGCUCGUGAUUAUUUUCUUGUGUAAUUCAAAUUUGCAAAUGCAGUGACCCGUAAAUCGAGAGACCAAAUUAAAACAAGUCACCAAAGCUUCCGGUCAGUCGAUGUUCACGGAGGAUAGCCCGGUAAAGUGAUUAAUGUACGUAACCAUCUAGAUAUACAGUUUAUGUAUCGGAGGCCAGAUGAGAGAUUGAGCAAAAGACGUUACCGACACCCUCAUCGUUAGAGCAGGACUGUCUCCCAGAUAGGACCGUUGGAGGGUGGGAGUGAGACCCGUUACAAAAUACUAGUGUGACAAUUUCUUGACCGUGACAUCCCUAACGUUAGUUUGCUUACAUUUCUGUAUAAGUUGGGUUUUAAGUGUAAAUUAAUCUGUGUAAUUUGCUUAGAGUUUGUUUGUAUAGUCACUUAUACUAAAAUGUAGUUUAAAUGUAAAAAGCUUAAAGAUAAAAUUGUAUAGUAACUAUUAACUAUUGUCACAUGUGGUAUUGUUUGUUUUAAGACACACUUUGCCAUGCAGGCCACUGGAUGCUGACUACUGAAGGUUAGGUUGUGUGUGACUGUGACGUGCUCAGCACAGCUUCAUGUCUGGCCUUCCCACUCUGUUCAUAGCAUGUUACAUAUUCAAUCUUGAGUACCAGGAUGGGGCAGCGUGUAUCUUGGAGUCCAAUGAAAGAUAUUAAUCCAGAGAGUGGAACAAGAAGAAGCAUCAUCUAAAAUGCCAGGAAACAGAAGAAACAGGUUGCAGUGAACCCACAUGUUGCCGCUCUACACAAUGAUGAAUUUUCAUUGUAAUCGAUGAAAAUUCUAGCUACUUGUUGUGCUCUGAUGGAUCAAGAUGUGGACCGUUUUACAGACUCACUUGGGCCUUGUUUUGCAAUUUUGUUUCAUGAUGGUAAUGUUGGUUAACGCGUUUGUAAUAAGAUUCAAGUAUGGAAGGAAGGAGUCGGGAACCGGAAGACAUUUAAACAAACAUUUAAUAAAGUAAUAAUAGCCGGCGGCCCCUCACGGACGACCGCCGGCGCAAUAACAUUAACAUAAACAUAAAUACAAAUUCAAAUACAAACACAAGUUCGGGCCCCGGUCCUCUCUCCUCGACGGUCUGGUCGCCAUUGUUUCUUUAUACGCUCCCAAUCUCCUACGUGGUGCGAGGCCGGUGCGCGCACCACUGGCGCUAAUUAACAAUCACUUACCGGCCUCGAACCACGGUCUCGCCCCGCCUACUCUACUACAGCAUUGUUUAAACAUGAAUGUUUAAAGAGCCAUGUUGGAAACUAUGAAGUUUAAACUGAAUAAAAUUAUUUCAUGUACAACAACGUACACAAUUCGUCUGUAAUGUAUUUUUGUAUCAAUUA